GGGUUGUGAGGUUAAGCGACUAAGCGUACACGGUGGAUGCCCUGGCAGUCAGAGGCGAUGAAGGGCGUGCUAAUCUGCGAUAAGCGCCGGUAAGGUGAUAUGAACCGUUAUAACCGGCGAUACCCGAAUGGGGAAACCCAGUGUGACUCGUCACACUAUCAUUAACUGAAUCCAUAGGUUAAUGAGGCGAACCGGGGGAACUGAAACAUCUAAGUACCCCGAGGAAAAGAAAUCAACCGAGAUUCCCCCAGUAGCGGCGAGCGAACGGGGAGGAGCCCAGAGCCUGAAUCAGCAUGUGUGUUAGUGGAAGCGUCUGGAAAGGCGCGCGAUACAGGGUGACAGCCCCGUACACAAAAGCGCAUGUGCUGUGAGCUCGAUGAGUAGGGCGGGACACGUGGUAUCCUGUCUGAAUAUGGGGGGACCAUCCUCCAAGGCUAAAUACUCCUGACUGACCGAUAGUGAACCAGUACCGUGAGGGAAAGGCGAAAAGAACCCCGGCGAGGGGAGUGAAAAAGAACCUGAAACCGUGUACGUACAAGCAGUGGGAGCACAGGUUUACCUGUGUGACUGCGUACCUUUUGUAUAAUGGGUCAGCGACUUAUAUUCUGUAGCAAGGUUAACCGAAUAGGGGAGCCGGAGGGAAACCGAGUCUUAAUUGGGCGUUAAGUUGCAGGGUAUAGACCCGAAACCCGGUGAUCUAGCCAUGGGCAGGUUGAAGGUUGGGUAACACUAACUGGAGGACCGAACCGACUAAUGUUGAAAAAUUAGCGGAUGACCUGUGGCUGGGGGUGAAAGGCCAAUCAAACCGGGAGAUAGCUGGUUCUCCCCGAAAGCUAUUUAGGUAGCGCCUCGUGAAUUCAUCUCCGGGGGUAGAGCACUGUUUCGGCUAGGGGGCCAUCCCGGCUUACCAACCCGAUGCAAACUGCGAAUACCGGAGAAUGUUAUCACGGGAGACACACGGCGGGUGCUAACGUCCGUCGUGAAGAGGGAAACAACCCAGACCGCCAGCUAAGGUCCCAAAGUCAUGGUUAAGUGGGAAACGAUGUGGGAAGGCCCAGACAGCCAGGAUGUUGGCUUAGAAGCAGCCAUCAUUUAAAGAAAGCGUAAUAGCUCACUGGUCGAGUCGGCCUGCGCGGAAGAUGUAACGGGGCUAAACCAUGCACCGAAGCUGCGGCAGCGACACUGUGUGUUGUUGGGUAGGGGAGCGUUCUGUAAGCCUGUGAAGGUGGCCUGUGAGGGUUGCUGGAGGUAUCAGAAGUGCGAAUGCUGACAUAAGUAACGAUAAAGCGGGUGAAAAGCCCGCUCGCCGGAAGACCAAGGGUUCCUGUCCAACGUUAAUCGGGGCAGGGUGAGUCGACCCCUAAGGCGAGGCCGAAAGGCGUAGUCGAUGGGAAACAGGUUAAUAUUCCUGUACUUGGUGUUACUGCGAAGGGGGGACGGAGAAGGCUAUGUUGGCCGGGCGACGGUUGUCCCGGUUUAAGCGUGUAGGUGUGUGUUCCAGGUAAAUCCGGUUCACUUUAACACUGAGGCGUGAUGACGAGGCACUACGGUGCUGAAGCAACAAAUGCCCUGCUUCCAGGAAAAGCCUCUAAGCAUCAGGUAACAUCAAAUCGUACCCCAAACCGACACAGGUGGUCAGGUAGAGAAUACCAAGGCGCUUGAGAGAACUCGGGUGAAGGAACUAGGCAAAAUGGUGCCGUAACUUCGGGAGAAGGCACGCUGACACGUAGGUGAAGUGAUUUACUCAUGGAGCUGAAGUCAGUCGAAGAUACCAGCUGGCUGCAACUGUUUAUUAAAAACACAGCACUGUGCAAACACGAAAGUGGACGUAUACGGUGUGACGCCUGCCCGGUGCCGGAAGGUUAAUUGAUGGGGUCAGCGCAAGCGAAGCUCCUGAUCGAAGCCCCGGUAAACGGCGGCCGUAACUAUAACGGUCCUAAGGUAGCGAAAUUCCUUGUCGGGUAAGUUCCGACCUGCACGAAUGGCGUAAUGAUGGCCAGGCUGUCUCCACCCGAGACUCAGUGAAAUUGAACUCGCUGUGAAGAUGCAGUGUACCCGCGGCAAGACGGAAAGACCCCGUGAACCUUUACUAUAGCUUGACACUGAACAUUGAGCCUUGAUGUGUAGGAUAGGUGGGAGGCUUUGAAGUGUGGACGCCAGUCUGCAUGGAGCCGACCUUGAAAUACCACCCUUUAAUGUUUGAUGUUCUAACGUGGACCCGUAAUCCGGGUUGCGGACAGUGUCUGGUGGGUAGUUUGACUGGGGCGGUCUCCUCCUAAAGAGUAACGGAGGAGCACGAAGGUUGGCUAAUCCUGGUCGGACAUCAGGAGGUUAGUGCAAUGGCAUAAGCCAGCUUGACUGCGAGCGUGACGGCGCGAGCAGGUGCGAAAGCAGGUCAUAGUGAUCCGGUGGUUCUGAAUGGAAGGGCCAUCGCUCAACGGAUAAAAGGUACUCCGGGGAUAACAGGCUGAUACCGCCCAAGAGUUCAUAUCGACGGCGGUGUUUGGCACCUCGAUGUCGGCUCAUCACAUCCUGGGGCUGAAGUAGGUCCCAAGGGUAUGGCUGUUCGCCAUUUAAAGUGGUACGCGAGCUGGGUUUAGAACGUCGUGAGACAGUUCGGUCCCUAUCUGCCGUGGGCGCUGGAGAACUGAGGGGGGCUGCUCCUAGUACGAGAGGACCGGAGUGGACGCAUCACUGGUGUUCGGGUUGUCAUGCCAAUGGCACUGCCCGGUAGCUAAAUGCGGAAGAGAUAAGUGCUGAAAGCAUCUAAGCACGAAACUUGCCCCGAGAUGAGUUCUCCCUGAGACUUAGAGUCUCCUGAAGGAACGUUGAAGACGACGACGUUGAUAGGCCGGGUGUGUAAGCGCAGCGAUGCGUUGAGCUAACCGGUACUAAUGAACCGUGAGGCUUAACCUUACAACGCCGAAG
rnacentral:rRNA from 10 species